UACAGAGGUCUCAAGCGUUGUUCGGAUUCAUUGGGCGUAAAGGGUGUGUAGGUGGCGCCGUAAGUCGGGUGUGAAAUUUCGGAGCUUAACUCCGAAACUGCAUUCGAUACUGCGGUGCUUGAGGACUGGAGAGGAGACUGGAAUUCAUGGUGUAGCAGUGAAAUGCGUAGAGAUCAUGAGGAAGACCAGUGGCGAAGGCGGGUCUCUGGA
rnacentral:rRNA from 1 species